AGCGAACGCUGGCGGCAGGCUUAACACAUGCAAGUCGAACGGUCCUUCGGGAUAGUGGCGGACGGGUGAGUAUCACGUGGGAACGUACCCUUAGGUUCGGAACAACACAGGGAAACUUGUGCUAAUACCGGAUAAGCCCUUCGGGGGAAAGACUUAUCGCCUUUGGAGCGGCCCGCGUCUGAUUAGCUUGUUGGUGAGGUAAUGGCUCACCAAGGCUACGAUCAGUAGCUGGUCUGAGAGGAUGGCCGGCCACACUGGGACUGAGACACGGCCCAGACUCCUACGGGAGGCAGCAGUGGGGAACCUUGCGCAAUGGGCGAAAGCCUGACGCAGCCAUGCCGCGUGGAUGAUGAAGGUCUUAGGAUUGUAAAAUCCUUUCACCGGGGACGAUAAUGACGGUACCCGGAGAAGAAGCCCCGGCUAACUUCGUGCCAGCCGCCGCGGUAA
rnacentral:rRNA from 1 species